GUAUAACAUAAAUAACAACGAAAAUAUGUAUUAAUUAAUCUAAAUAUACAACUUUCUUUAAUGGAUUUAUAAAGAAGAAAAUUAACUAUAAAAUUAACUAAAGUAAAUUUAAAUAUAUUCAUUUAUAUUCAUUUUAUAUAUUCACUGAAUAAAUUUCAUAAAUUUCACUAAAAAAAAUAAUCGAUAAAAUCAGUUACCGUGAUAAAAAUUAACGUAAAAGAUAAAAAGUAUAUAAUAAUUAAGACAAAAGAUAACAGUUGUAUCGGUUAUUCAACAAACGUAGAAUUAACAUAAGAACAAUCAUAAGAUGAGCAAUCCAAAUGCUUAUGUGCGUCUAAGGGUUCAUAUCUCUCGAGUUGAGAGCGGAUGCGCCACCGAUCGGCUGCAUCUAUCCCCACCCUCGCACACUGACGAGUUACGCACGAGCACAAGCAUCCUAUGAGGGGUGGUCGUAGAGAUAGAGAGAAAAAGAGAGAAAAUACAGGCCAAGAGAGCCCCCGCUGACUGGUCUCAUCGAUCCCUUUGGACGACGCGACGACGAUGACGUCGACGGUAGUCUGGACCAGAACGUCGUGCUGAUCUCUUCUCUUUAUCUCUCACUUUCUUUCUUAGCUAACCACAUCUGCUUCUUGUCUCGUCAUACUUCGUGGUAUAAUUUCCUUAUCUCGGUUUUCUUUCCGAAUUCCGCUUACUUUCAUCAUGUACAAAUUUAAUUCUCGAAAUGAAAAGAAAAAAAAAAGUUAAAAGAAUCGAUCAAUUAUAUUCUCUCUCUCUCUCUUCUCUCUCUUUCUCUCUCCCUCUCUCUCUUUUAUCACGUGCGUUUACAAAUCGGUAGUACACGCAACCACGUGUAUAAGACAUAGUGAAUCAAUAUACGUUUAUCACGAGUGUGAGCACAUCUUUCAUUUUUUUUACUCUUUGACUAUUUUAGACCUAACACUCGCGUUUUGUGACGUGUACCCGUCCUCUUGCUCUCUAUAUAUAAUUGUAUUAGUGCGCGUAAUGUGUGCUCACACUCGCUGACGUGCGUGAGUAUUUCUAUAGUGUCGACAUCGUCACGAUCAUCGUUCAAAAGGUAGAAGAAGACAUAAGCUUAUGCUCGGUGAUCCAAAUUCAAAGACAUGUGUACGCCGGAGGAGGCGAAGAUCGACCUAAAAGAUAACAGCUCAGUAUAACUUUGAAUUAUUUACUUUGACGAGGAACUUUAACCGAUGAUGUCAUCGAAGCGAAUAUCAUCAUUUCAAGUUUAUCGCGAAAAUAUUUCAAACUAAAUAAUAAAUCGAUUCAACAGGAUUAGAAAUCAAGGGAAAUAUUGUUGCAUUUCAUUUUUUCUUCAAUAUAUAACGUACUACGUAUCUAAUCACAAAAAAAACAAUACAGAAAAUAUAUUCUCCUUACCUGCCAUAUGUCGUCCAUCGUAAACAUCGUAUACAUUUACGACAGCUGCUCAUUUAUGAAUUACUUUUACGUUCGUAUAUCUUAUCAGAGAUUUAUAAUAUACCAUCGGACGUCUGCCUUUACGAAACACAUUUUAAAAUCGACCGUGAAUUUACAACAUGAAAAGAAAACAUCUGAAAAGUAUCUACUUCGAAUUAAAUAACAUGUGUUAUCUAAUUGAGAUAAGAAAAGAAACGAAUGCUAUUUUUGAAAUAUUUUGAAAUAUUUUUGAUAUAUAUACGAAUGCUAUUGGAAAAAUACGUUAUCUCAAUGGAAUUACACAAUGCUAAAACCAUGCCUAUCAUCAGCAUACAUAUUGUUAUGUCGUUAAAGUCUAAUAACAGUUAAUCAUCCUUAAUCUCUUAUUUAUUAUCUUAACCAUUCCUUCUUGAAUUAUUCUUGUUUUCACCAAAUUUUUUAUCAUAUUAACGUAUAGUUUCAAAACAAUCUGUAGAAUUAGAAACGGAACGCGAUGAGAUCACUGUGUAUUUAGACAAAAACGCCCGAAGACCGUACAGCAUAUGAUUCCGAUGCAUAUGGUCAAAUGUCUCCAGUUUCGCUUAUCGCUAUGCCACUCUCCUUUGCAAUAGUUUUUUGGCUUUGUUAGCGAAUAACUCAGUUUGCAAUAAACUUUUAUGAGGAAACAUUGAAUUAUAGAAUAAAAUAAACGCUCAAUCUCCCUA